CUAUUUCUAGAGAUGAAAGUUACUUCGGUACAUCGGUGACAGGUGGUGCAUGGUUGUCGUCAGCUCGUGUCGUGAGAUGUUGGGUUAAGUCCCGCAACGAGCGCAACCCCUAUUGUUAGUUGCCAUCAUUCAGUUGGGCACUCUAGCGAGACUGCCGGUAAUAAACCGGAGGAAGGUGGGGAUGACGUCAAAUCAUCAUGCCCCUUAUGACCUGGGCUACACACGUGCUACAAUGGUUGGUACAACAAGUUGCGAGUCGGUGACGGCGAGCUAAUCUCUUAAAGCCAAUCUCAGUUCGGAUUGUAGGCUGCAACUCGCCUACAUGAAGUCGGAAUCGCUAGUAAUCGCGGAUCAGCACGCCGCGGUGAAUACGUUCCCGGGCCUU
rnacentral:rRNA from 1 species